ACGGAGGAUCCAAGCGUUAUCCGGAAUCAUUGGGUUUAAAGGGUCCGUAGGCGGUUUAAUAAGUCAGUGGUGAAAGCCCAUCGCUCAACGAUGGAACGGCCAUUGAUACUGUUAGACUUGAAUUAUUGGGAAGUAACUAGAAUAUGUAGUGUAGCGGUGAAAUGCUUAGAUAUUACAUGGAAUACCAAUUGCGAAGGCAGGUUACUACCAAUUUAUUGACGCUGAUGGACGAAAGCGUGGGGAGCGAACAGGAUUAGAUACCCUGGUAGUCCACGCCGUAAACGAUGGAUACUAGCUGUUGGGAGCAAUCUCAGUGGCUAAGCGAAAGUGAUAAGUAUCCCACCUGGGGAGUACGUUCGCAAGAAUG
rnacentral:rRNA from 1 species